GAGGCUGGGGGAACAGCAAGGAGACCAGAGGGACCCUGAGAAGCCCAAGGACUGAUGGGAAAAGCAAAUAGCCUGGCAUAGUUUUGUUUUAUUCUUAGAAUCAUAUUUCUUCAGAGAAGUGGAAUGACAAUGCCUUUCAUGCCAAUAUAACUUUUUCUUUCUUUUUUUUCCUUUUAGAGAUAGGGUCUGGCUAUGUUGCCCAGGCUGGCCUCAAACUCCUGAGCUCAAGCAAUACUCCUGCCUCAGCCUCCCAAGUAGCUGGGACAACAGGCCAGCACCACUGUACCUGGCUUUGAUGUAACUUUGUAACUCUGCAAAACUCCUUCCCACAUGUCUUUCCUUGGGUCCUCCCCACACCUUAUGCUGCAGGCAAGACUAGAAUUAUUCAUGUAUCCACAGUUGUGGAAACUGAGGCACAAAGAAAUUAAGCCACUUGCUUGAGAUCACAGUGAAGGAAGAAUUUGGAAGCAAAUUGAAGAUGUAAAACCUGGGCCUCCUGACUUCUAGAUACCACCAUGCGGCAAUUUGGAUCUGAAAGAAAGCACACAGCUUACGCCCGGACAGAGCAGCCGGUGUCUAGCUGUGCCCACUUGCCCCACCCAGCCCCCACCUGUGUGCCACCUGGCAGUCAUAUGCACAUUCAUUACAGGGGAGCUGGCUGACUCACACAUUAUACUGGGGCUGACUCAUGCUUUGCAAGAGGGAGAGUGAGAAUCAGUUGGCCACAGGAGCCCCCGCUUUCCACAUCGAGGCUUGAGAUUCAUGCCUCAAAUCCACGGCAGUUUAGUUCUUUAAAAAGGGAAAGCACUGUGAGCUGGCUGGAGCUGGGGAUCUCUGGACUCAGAGAAGAGUGGUUUGGUUCAACUCUGGGCUCUGUUACAAGUUGACUGGGUGACUUCAGGCAAGUCAUUGUCCCUCAGUCUCUUCGGCUUUGUAACAAAGGGGUUGCAACAGAUAAGUGCCAAGACUUUUCAAGCAUCUGAAAGACUGUUCUUGCUCUGGUUUGAGAAACCUCGUCAUAAUAAUGUUGUAUGUGUUGCUAAUUCACUAUGUGCCAGGUAAGUGAUUGGUAUGGGGUUAUUAAUAUCUCAUUUAAUUCUCAUAAUGAAUUCUAGAUUUACUAUUUUUUGUCCUAUUUCUCAAAGGAGGAAACUGAAGCACAGUUUCAGAGUGAUUUUCCCAAGGUGGAGCAGGUCAGCAAGUGGCCGAGCUAAGAAUUAAACCUGGUUUGUCCCCAGACUUUGCAUAAAAUCUAGUCUAAGGCCGGGCAUGGUGACUCAUGCCUUUAAUCCCAGCACUUUGGGAGGCUGCGGCGGGUGGAUCACGAGGUCAGGAGUUGGAGACCAGCCUGGCCAACAUGGUGAAACCCGUGUCUACUAAAAAUACAAAAAUUAGCUGGGCGUGGUGGCAGGUGCCUGUAAUCCCAGCUACUCAGGAGACUAAGUCAGGAGAAUUGCUUGAACCCGGGAGGCAAAGGUUGCAGUGAGCUGAGAUCGUGCCACUGCACUCCAGCCUGGGUGACAGAGCAAGACUCCAUCCCAAAAAAAAAAAAAAAAA
ensembl:lncRNA